GGUGGGGUAGGGCGGGAUAAAUAAGUCAGUGGUGAAAACCUGCAGCUUAACUGUAGAAUUGCCAUUGAUACUGUUAGUCUUGAGUACGGUCAAGGUAGGCGGAAUGUGUAAUGUAGCGGUGAAAAUGCUUAGAUAUUACACAGAACACCGAUUGCGAAGGCAGCUUACUGGGCCAUUACUGACGCUGAUGCACGAAAGCGUGGGGAGCGAACAGGAUUAGAUACCCUGGUAGUCCACGCCGUAAACGAUGAUCACUCGCUGUUGGCGAUACACAGUCAGCGGCUAAGCAAAAGCAUUAAGUGAUCCACCUGGGGAGUACGGCCGCAAGGCUGAAACUCAAAGGAAUUGACGGGGGCCCGCACAAGCGGAGGAACAUGUGGUUUAAUUCGAUGAUACGCGAGGAACCUUACCUGGGCUUAAAUGUAGAGUGCAUGAAGUGGAAACAUUUCUUUCCUUCGGGACUCUUUGCAAAGUGCUGCAUGGUUGUCGUCAGCUCGUGCCGUGAGGUGUCGGGUUAAGUCCCAUAACGAGCGCAACCCUUAUCGUUAGUUGCCAGCGGGUAAUGCCGGGAACUCUAACGAAACUGCCGGUGUAAACCGUGAGGAAGGUGGGGAUGACGUCAAAUCAGCACGGCCCUUAUGUCCAGGGCUACACACGUGUUACAAUGGCCGGUACAGAGGGCAGCUACCUGGAGACAGGAUGCGAAUCUCGAAAGCCGGUCUCAGUUCGGAUCGGAGUCUGCAACUCGACUCCGUGAAGCUGGAUUCGCUAGUAAUCGCGCAUCAGCCAUGGCGCGGUGAAUACGUUCCCGGGCCUUGUACACACCGCCCGUCAA
rnacentral:rRNA from 1 species